GAUGAACGCUGGCGGCGUGCCUAAUACAUGCAAGUCGAGCGAAGCGGGGACAGGUGAGUAACACGUGGAUAACCUCCUAUAAGACUGGGAUAAAUUCGGGAAACCGGUGCUAAACCCGCUACUUAUCGCUGGAUCCGCGCUGCAUUAGCUAGUUGGUAAGGUAACGGCUUACCAAGGCAACGAUGCCUAGCCGACCUGAGAGGGUGAUCGGCCACACUGGAACUUAGACACGGUCCAGACUCCUACGGGAGGCAGCAGUGGGGAAUCUUCCGCAAUGGGCGAAAGCCUGACGGAGCCACGCCGCGUGUGUGAUGAAGGUCUUCGGAUCGUAAAACUCUGUUAUUAGGGAGGCGGUACCUAAUCAGAAAGCCACGGCUAACUACGUGCCAGCAGCCGCGGUAAUUC
rnacentral:rRNA from 1 species